rnacentral:rRNA from 1 species
AGUGAACGCUGGCGGUAGGCCUAACACAUGCAAGUCGAACGGCAGCACAGUAAGAGCUUGCUCUUACGGGUGGCGAGUGGCGGACGGGUGAGGAAUACAUCGGAAUCUACUUUUUCGUGGGGGAUAACGUAGGGAAACUUACGCUAAUACCGCAUACGACCUACGGGUGAAAGCAGGGGAUCUUCGGACCUUGCGCGAUUGAAUGAGCCGAUGUCGGAUUAGCUAGUUGGCGGGGUAAAGGCCCACCAAGGCGACGAUCCGUAGCUGGUCUGAGAGGAUGACCGGCAAAACUGAACUGAGACACGGUCCAGACUCCUACGGGAGGCAGCAGUGGGGAAUAUUGGACAAUGGGCGCAAGCCUGAUCCAGCCAUACCGCGUGGGUGAAGAAGGCCUUCGGGUUGUAAAGCCCUUUUGUUGGGAAAGAAAAGCAGCAGGUUAAUACCCCGCUGUUCUGACGGUACCCAAAGAAUAAGCACCGGCUAACUUCGUG